rnacentral:tRNA from 1 species
GGAGGGUUGACCGAGUUGGUCUAAGGUGACAGACUUAAGGUGAAGGUUCAAAUCCUUCUUUACCAGAGUAAUCUGUUGGUCAGUUGACCGCGCGAGUUCGAAUCUCGCACCCUUCACUA